GAUGAACGCUGGCGGCGUGCCUAAUACAUGCAAGUCGAACGCAUUGUGGUUGAAAUGAUAUGAAGAACUUGUUCAGAUUUGAUUUUCAACAUUGCAAUGAGUGGCGAACGGGUGAGUAACACGUGGGAAACCUACCUCUUAGCAGGGGAUAACAUUCGGAAACAAAUGCUAAUACCGUAUAAUAAUUAAAACCGCAUGGUUUUUAGUUUAAAAGAUGGUCUUGCUAUCACUAAGAGAUGGUCCCGCGGUGUAUUAGUUAGUUGGUGAGGUAAUGGCUCACCAAGACAAUGAUACAUAGCCGAGUUGAGAGACUGACCGGCCACAAUGGGACUGAGACACGGCCCAUACUCCUACGGGAGGCAGCGGUAGGGAAUCUUCCACAAUGGACGAAAGUCUGAUGGAGCAACGCCGCGUGUGUGAUGAAGGGUUUCGGCUGUAAAACACUGUUGUAAGAGAAGAAUGAC
rnacentral:rRNA from 1 species